UACGGAGGGUGCGAGCGUUGUCCGGAAUCACUGGGCGUAAAGGGCGCGUAGGCGGCCUGAUAAGUAGGGGGUGAAAUCUUGCGGCUUAACCGCAAGGCUGCCUUCUAAACUGUCAGGCUAGAGCACAGUAGAGGCAGGUGGAAUUCCCGGUGUAGCGGUGGAAUGCGUAGAGAUGUGGAGGAACACCGAUGGCGAAGGCAGCCUCCUGGGCCAGCACUGACGCUCAUGCACGAAAGCGUGGGGAGCAAACAGG
rnacentral:rRNA from 1 species